UCCCUCUUUUAACGACGAGUCUGGCGCCCGCGCUGGAUUACAAGUUGCGGCGCGUUUUUCCGCCGCCCCGUAUACCGAGUUUCGAGAAUAACAACACUGCCGCUUUUUGCGCGUCGUCUGCUCUCCGUACAAGAUCGUAAACUCGCGCGUCGUGCACUUGUCUCUAUAUGCUAUAAUAUAUAUAGGUAUACGAAGGGGGAAAAAUAGUGGAAUAGAAGAAUCGAACGCAGAUAGUAUAUCUUGGCUCGAGAGAUCCUCGGUCGUCGUCACACGUAUAAACGGCUUCCGGGUUCGUGCUUCUUGUUAUCUCUUAUUCUAAUACAACGAAUUUCUUAAACAGGGACGCGUCUGCUUCGAUAAAUCUCUGCAAGAGAGAUGAGUCGAGAGCCUAGACGGAAAUAGCAGUUUUGGCGGGGCAGAGAGAGAGAAAAAAAAACUCACGUGUCAAUUAAGAUCUCGCCUUGGAUAUCACCGUGAGGAUGUGGAAGGCGCGUGGCGAUGCAUAUAUUAUUACACGGAGAGGAUGUAGGAUCGUUUUUUUUUUCCCCUCGUCGACGCCGCGCGCGCGUGAUAACAUCAACACAGUUGACCUCUCUGCUGGCGAAGAGCUACUACACACACACACAAUGGAUGACACACUAAGCUGGAACUCGGUAGGCUGCAGUAUAUAGAAAUAAGCAUUCGUCGUGCAGUUGCAGGAAAAAGGAGAAUUUGUAGAAUUCAUCAUUCGCACGAGAGAGAAAGGCGCCCAACAACAACAACAACAACAACAGCGGCAGCAGAUAUGGGAUUCGCGAAGAAGAAGAAGAAGUUAUUUGCCAAGGACGUCGAUUAUACACGAGGAAAAAAGCCGGCUUGUAAACAUUGACGCUAAACGCCGCUACUGAUAGCGUUGCAGCGCACGUGUCGACUGUGUGUGUGUGUGUAUAUAUAUAGCUGCGGUAUAUAAGUAUACAUAACCGGAUUGGUUUUUCUUUUUGAGGUCGUAUGCGGCUGAUACAAUUUGUAAACAAAUAUUAUUUUUUUCACGUGCAGGUAAUCGAAGCUUGAAAUCCCACGAAUCUGCAUAAAUCCGUGCGUGUAAUAACUAGGCCAUUCACCUCGUCAAAGGUCAGUCCGUCUACAGCCGAGAUCGUCUCCGAAACUCGGUAUAUACUUACUACGAGAGUCGUGUGUGUGUAUGUGUGUGUUUGCACCAAUAAAAUUCCAGGACGUUUCUUUUCACGACUAUGCAGCCAUCAGAUAAAAGCUCUCGCAUACGUGUACUCUCCGAAGCGUGCAGUCGAGAGGAUCACGAUUUUUCGGGGAUACAUAUCGUCGGCGCAGCACGAGUCCGCGAUAAUACUCACUUACUCGCGUGCGUUGAAAAGGAAGAGCAGAAAAAGAGAGAGUCAGUCGCGCGCGCGUGUGUGUGUGUGCCGUGGGAAAGGCAAAGGCGGAUCAUCCUCGAUUUUGAAUUUCGAGCGCACGUCCUAUUCAACAUCCGGUGAAAGACGUCCGGGUUCGAUCUCAGGCUUUGUUAUAUAUACGACGACAUACUUUGGCGCGAAGCUGAUGCUGGUUUGUAAUGGACCUGUAUAUUGGGACACGGUUGAUUAGAAAUCGAGAGGAUUGACAUUGCUGGAAAUGAGUUUUAUUACGCGAGAUAACUAAUGUAUAGGAACGUGUUUUCUUAGUCGGAGGAUAACGAUCACUGAUGACGUUCGGUUCGGUUCGGUUUUAACGUCACGAGCUUCUGGAAAUGGGAAUGACGGCGUUUAACGAAUUUUUCGAGAGCAUCGUGUACCCAACUAUACGCGCGGUUUCUUAAAUUAAAAAUAUGAGAUUUGCAUGAUUGGAUGAGAAAAAAAAAUUCAAAGAUUUUACUCUAUACGCUCAUUUGCAUUUUCGGAGAUUAUUCCAGACUCUUUUGCUUAUACAUCCCGUAUCCCGGAGCUUCGAUCUCGGAGUGAAUUUAUCGCGGUUAUUUACGUGAAAAUCAUACAAUAGUGUAUUAACGAAAAUGAUUAAACCCCGUAUACCAUCGUCGAAAUGGAGAUCCACGCGGGAAUGAAUAAUGCAUGAGACGUACUAUUGCAUUACUUAACACAUCCUGGAUUUACACAGAGAGACGACAAAAAAGAGCUACUAACAUCACCGUCCUUGGUACACACACACACACACACACAUGUAACGAACGUUUAGUUCUAAGUCGCAGGUGCGCAACAAAGCAAUCGAAAGUAGAUUAGUUCCGCGAUGGGUAAAUUGUUUUGAAAUUCAUUUCGUUCUCGUUUGAAAAAAAAAAAAAAAUUAAAAACGCAACUCAAAAGCUUUUUGCACUAGAACGCGAGUUAAGUAACGUUUAAAAGUUGAAACCCAUAUAAAACACACACACACACAAAGAAGCCGCUGAAAGGAAGAAUAAAAGACGCUCCGAAACAGUUCGUUCUCCGCUCAAUGAUAUACAGGAUAUUCGACGAUAGCUAUUGGGUCAAUAGAAAGCUCCCUCUCGUUCAUGCUCUGUAUGGUAGCUGUGCUGCAAGCGGAUCCCCGAGAAAAUUUCGGCGUUAAGAAUUCACCUUCGAUACAAGCUUAUAACGAUCCCUCUGCGAUACUUUUAUUGUUAAUCUUUCUAUAAACAAACGAGCAACUCUACACUUGUACUCCCGGAACUGCAGACGUGAACUCGCAGCUGGAUCGAUAAAAAUGUUAAUUUUUUCGUCCGGUUAUCGGACUGAGAUUACGCGGCAUUGUCGAGCUUCCAGAAAAGAAGGCAACGCUCUCUACUGACUUUCUACGUACGUUGCCUAAAUCUACUCGUCUUGCGUCGAGUGCGCGUAACGAUGCUUUUUUUUUUUUCUCCAAAUUGAGCGUGAGAAAAUCAGGCAAACAAAAAAAAUCGCUUCGACGCGAUGUACCGCCGUCUGUAUAAUGCAUACAUAAAUCUAUACCGCGAGUGCAGUCGCGGCUUUAUCAAUGUCAAGCCCAUAUUCACACAGGACUAUAUGUUGUAGCUCUCUCGCAAGGUGCGGCUCUCCGCCGAGAGAGCACAGCCCAAUAACCCGAAUGUAACCGGACACACGCAAACGCGCGCGAGUGAGCGGUGAGAAGAGAGCUGCAGUGUGUGUGUGUAUAUAUAUAUAUAUAUAUAUAUAUUUGCGUUGAAUGUCAGAGGAAAAGUACGGAUGAGCUGAUUUGACGUGAUUAUGUAUUUCUGAGGAGUGGUUAAUCAAAUUUGAGUGUAGAAUUAUUAAAGAUAAUAUAAGUGUA